rnacentral:rRNA from 1 species
UACGUAGGCAGCGAGCGUUGUUCGGAGUUACUGGGCGUAAAGGGUGUGUAGGCGGUUGUUUAAGUUCGGUGUGAAAUCUCCCGGCUCAACUGGGAGGGUGCGCCGAAUACUGAAUGACUUGGAGUGCGGGAGAGGUGAGUGGAAUUCCUGGUGUAGCGGUGAAAUGCGUAGAUAUCAGGAGGAACACCGGUGGUGUAGACGGCUCACUGGAUCGUUGCUGACGCUGAGACGCGAAAGCGUGGGGAGCAACCAGG